CAAAGGAAAUUUGAAAACAGAGCCAGGACCUUCGUUUCAGACAGUGCUCUCGUAAUAGGGGAAACUCAGGAGAGUCGACUUCUAUCUCGCUGAGCUGCUUUUUUUUUUUUUUUUUUUCUUGUGUUUGACAAUGUUAGUAACUCAACCUGGGUCCAGAGUGCUAUUGAAAGCACAAAAGUCACAGGAAGAAGCUGAAUGUGGUUGUGCACCCUGCUAAUUCAGGUUCUCUGGAGACAGAGAGCUGACAGUUCCCUGUAGUUCAAGGCCAGAUUGGGCUAUGCAGCAAGAAAACGGGCUGUGUAUAACUUUCUCUUUAGGAAUACAGGAUGACAAUCGCAUAAUCCAUUCACAGCUGAUCAAGUUAAACUCUCCUGCUAAGUGACCAGAGGACCCGCCUCUUCAAUGGACCACCCGCCUCCAACAACAUGAUUCAUCACAGCCGAUCAAGUUAAAACUCUCCUCCUGCUAAGUGACCAGAAGACACCCCCCUACACACACUUCAGUGGGCCCAUAACUACCCCCUCUGACAAAGACCCUCCUCAGCAGGAAAACAGCGCUCCUUUUCUCUGUAUCCUAGAGUUUGGAACGAUAGUUUCCUGCUGAAAGACUACACCUCCCAGGUUCCCUUGCGGCCAGACGAGGGCACUCCGGAACUGAGAAACUACAGGAGGGAACGUAUAACAGGUGAGGUAGUCAUUUAUACCCCUAUAAAGGUCGUAGCCGCCUUCUUCCCGGAGUAUCCUCUCAUCUGUCUGCCUGUACUGAGUCAUUUUCUUAUCUUAUUCUCUUAUGGUAUGAGGUGUUCUCUCAUCCCCCCUCAUAGCGUGGGACGUAUGGCUCAUCCCUUCACGUGAGUGAGAUUGUGUCCCCCUUGCAGUUUGUCCGCCAAUAAACACCGUUCUGCCCACAGUCA